rnacentral:rRNA from 1 species
GUCAAGUCAUCAUGGCCCUUAUGUCCAGGGCUACACACGUGCUACAAUGGCAUAUUCAAAGGGACGCGCGGCAGUGAUGCUUAGCGAAUCUCAUAAAGUAUGCCUCAGUUCGGAUUGCAGUCUGCAACUCGACUGCAUGAAGUCGGAAUCGCUAGUAAUCGCAGGUCAGCCAAACUGCGGUGAAUACGUUCCCGGGCCUU